CCUACGGGGGGCAGCAGUGGGGAAUAUUGGGCAAUGGGCGCAAGCCUGACCCAGCAACGCCGCGUGAAGGAAGAAGGCUUUCGGGUUGUAAACUUCUUUUGACAGGGAAGAGUAGAAGACGGUACCUGUCGAAUAAGCCACGGCUAACUACGUGCCAGCAGCCGCGGUAAUACGUAGGUGGCAAGCGUUGUCCGGAUUUACUGGGUGGAAAGGGCGUGUAGCCGGGUUGGCAAGUCAGAUGUGAAAUCCUGCGGCUUAACCGCAGAACUGCAUUUGAAACUGUUGUUCUUGAGUGCUGGAGAGGCAGACGGAAUUCCUAGUGUAGCGGUGAAAUGCGUAGAUAUUAGGAGGAACACCAGUGGCGAAGGCGGUCUGCUGGACAGCAACUGACGGUGAGGCGCGAAAGCGUGGGGAGCAAACAGGAUUAGAUACCCUUGUAGUC
rnacentral:rRNA from 1 species